GGGGAUGGGGAGGCUGCUGGAGGAGAGGAGCUGUGGCCAGUUCUAAGAGAGCAUGCUGAUGUUGGAGCCUACUGACCCACCCCUCUGUCGGUGACCUUUACCUACCCAGCUGAGCACAGAGAUUUACAUGUAGAGAUGCUCAUUAGCCUGGAGUGGCUAUUGAAGAUGCCCUGGGCAGUGAAGUUGCAGGGGCCUGGCCUCACACAUUCCAGGGUCAUUUGUCAAUAGAACAUGGUAUUUGCUGAAGAAAUCAACCCUAAUUUUAUUAUUUAAUGGAAGAAAUGUGCCAAGUAUGAUGCUCUGGGAGGUUUGGAUCUUUAUUGCUAGUGAAAGCAAGUCUCUCAGAGGCUUCUGUGGCUGGAGACCUGGGGUCAUCUCUCUAACACUGUGUCAAGAUGGAGAGUCUGCUGGAGGAGAGCAUCAGGGAGCCUGGGCCAAGAUGCCCGUACCAGGUUGCAGGUGCAUGCCUACUGCUGUGUGCAUACAGGGGCCUGCCUGUGUGGAGGUCCCUCCAAGGCCACUUCCACAUGAUGGAAUAUAACAGCACCCUGCACAGGGAUCAGAAAACAAAAUGCCACCCAUGGAGAACACAUUCCAAAACACCACAGCAUUCACUGGGGUAGGAGGUGGAGCUCCAUAGAAUCCACUCCUGGGUGGGGUAGCUUCACAGAAUCCACUGUGGGGAUGCCUAGCUCCACUGAGCCUGUUCACCCUUGUUUGACUUACAAAUGUCCUUUUGGUUGAUGGAUCAAGAUACAUCAUAUACAAGUAUACAAUUGUCAAAGAAUAAAAUGUACUUUAAAAAGAAA